rnacentral:rRNA from 1 species
GAUGAACGCUGGCGGCGUGCCUAAUACAUGCAAGUCGAGCGAACGGACGAGAAGCUUGCUUCUCUGACGUUAGCGGCGGACGGGUGAGUAACACGUGGAUAACCUACCUAUAAGACUGGGAUAACUUCGGGAAACCGGAGCUAAUACCGGAUAAUAUUUUGAACCGCAUGGUUCAAAAGUGAAAGACGGUUUUGCUGUCACUUAUAGAUGGAUCCGCGCUGCAUUAGCUAGUUGGUAAGGUACGGCUUACCAAGGCAACGAUGCAUAGCCGACCUGAGAGGGUGAUCGGCCACACUGGAACUGAGACACGGUCCAGACUCCUACGGGAGGCAGCAGUAGGGAAUCUUCCGCAAUGGGCGAAAGCCUGACGGAGCAACGCCGCGUGAGUGAUGAAGGUCUUCGGAUCGUAAAACUCUGUUAUUAGGGAAGAACAUAUGUGUAAGUAACUGUGCACAUCUUGACGGUACCUAAUCAGAAAGCCACGGCUAACUACGUG